AAGUAAGUGGGGAUCGCCAUGGACAGGCAGAGACCAGCAGCUUCUCCAAGCUGAAGUUGCCUGAGAAGCCCCUCCGCAAACCCUUCAGCCCCGUUGUUGAUCGGGGUACGAUUUUGCUUGUAGUGCUACUAUGAUUAAUUGUUUUGCCCUUGUAGCUUCUACCUGUGAGACAGCGACUGACCCUCUUUUCGUCGAGCUUUUCACUUCCCAAGUUCUCUAUUUAUAAUCUCAAAGGAUGAGCAGGCUUUCAACUACCAUCUUAUAUGAAGUGCAGCGUGCUAAAGAUGGAUCUAGACAGGUGCCUAUAUUUUCUUCCGAGCGAUGGUGUUGUGUCGUGUGAUAUCAUGUUUGAGCCGUGGCAUGUUUUUUGUCCUGGGCAUCCGUGGCAUGUUUUUUGUCCUGGGCAUGCUUUUCGCGUUGAGGUGUUGCCGUCAUUCAUGUUUCUUGUGGGUUUGGGUUUGGGUUUGGAUAUUUCCUGUAAAAAAAAGGUGGCGGUUUGCCAGGCCACGUUGUGUUUUCCUUCCUUUUUGCUGGAAAUCGCGUGUUCUUCCCAACAUAGGAGGUUUCGUUCAUGUGGCUGUGACAGCGUUUCGUCUGCGUGCGCGUUUGGGCAAAGUUCCAGCUAGGGAAAGGAUAACAAUGAUUGAUGAGAAGACUAGCUGGUUUAUACAGACAUAGUUUGGCAGCACCUGUUUUUAUCUGAAUUUGGCCCGUCUCUAUGGGGUCGGUGGCAGUCGACAUGACUGGAUUGGACAUGUUGCGUGCUACUAACCGUGUAGCCUUUUGCCCCGCAUAUACUCCCGAUGGUAGUGAAAAACAAGUUGCCAAUAGCUGGCUAUGAUUAAAGUGUUGUGGCGUUAAUUAUUAGAGAGGCAGGACUUUUGCCUGGACGCCAAUUGGUAAACUCUAUAUGCAAUACACGUUGUAGGCUAGAAAUUCCCCAUUUGGGGAAAAUAAGAGGAAGAAGUUUGACCUCUGCGGCCUGCUGCCGGAGACAAAAAAAAAGGGGGGGGUCCAGAGCAGAGAUGCACAAAAAUGUGGAAAGUUGAUCCUGGCAGGCACGCACAGUUCUCGGUGACAAACGCGUGCACUGCUGUAUUUAGUUUAGGUGACGACGAAAGCCGCCCCAGCAAAGCGAGGAUGCAUCGAUCACUCAACAUGCACCAUUACUGGAGUUUUCACACUCGACAGUCACACCCACCGUAAAUAGCUACUAAAUGGCAUCCAUUCUCAGCUUGUUGGCAGUGUCGAUCGCACUCCUCUCACGAAUUAUUAGUCGCGAAGCUUCGCGUAGGAACAAACAAGUACAGUAAAUUGAUAGAGAAAGUCUGUUGUCUUAUUUUUUUUAAAGACCUUUGAAUGACGCACCGAAUCUCACGCGGACGCUAAGCUUUGUACAAAUGGCCCCUUUCCCUUCAUGAGAAAAAUCUGACGCGGACGUGCACCCAGAACUGGUACAGACGCGCUUGAGUGCGCGGCUGCAUGCAUGCGACGGGGAUUCCCGACUUCCGGUGGCCCGUUGUUGUGCCAUGUGGAGGUCGGCACGAGUGAGCAGACGGUGGACGUAUAGGAGAGAGAGAGUCCAGUCACACCAAAUUAACCGCCAGCACGCGCUGUGGUUAUCGCCGACACAGACGCGUGCGUGAGCCAGCAGUCGGUCUGUCGCUGUCGGCACCUAUGCUUGGAGCUAGGACGAACAACCCGUGGCUGGUCGAUCAGCCUGAUCGAUCUGCACACGGUGAUACAAUACACACCAUUUGGUUGCACCAUAUAUAGAGUACUACCUUCGUCCUGGUUUAUUGGCCUCAUCGUAUUUUUCUAUCAAAUUUUGACCGUACAUUUACCAAAUGUGUGCAUCCAGCCAGCGCCUUGAUGUGUGCAUCAAGACUAUGGAAAAGGUCAUUAUAGUCCAAGUAGCGCAUCAAAGACUAUGAAAAGUCAAACCGAGGAAAAUGGUAGUACAAAGUGGGCUGGUACAGUACGGUGAUGCCCGGUCCUGCAUUCCGGUAGCCGGUAGGGGUCCCGAUCAGGAUCAGGCAGACGAACGCACUGCACGGUCGCACGCAGAAAUUUCUCUUUCUCGGUUUGCACCAGCCGUAGCUCUCGACCGAUCGAUCGCUCAAACAGUCAGCACCCAUGUCCACAUUUUACAGUCACAAACGCAGACAUUUCCUCCCAAAGCUUCUGAACGCUCCAUGUCAAUGCAGGGUAUCGAACGGUACCCCAUCAAGAUUGAAGCACAUCAAAAGCACGCUCCACAUCCUUCCUAGCACUCUCCUGCAUUUGGGCAAAUCUCUAUCUUUUCUCUCCUUGCGGAUUGGGUAUGGUCUUCACAAAAAUUGACCACUGAGGAUAGACAUCAUCAGCUAGGUAAUAUCCCUUGUUGUAAUGGUACCCAUUGACCUCAAAGUUGACCUCUGAGAAGUGGCCUUCUGCAAGCCUUGCAAACACUGGAGAACGCUAAAGCACGUUGAUAUCAUGUGAGAACCAACUGUACCGAAGAAAGAAUGCCAUAUCCACAGAUCUUGUGAAGCCACCGCUUCUAGUAUGAUAGUGGCACCUUUCACAUGCCAUUUGUACUGCCCCUGCCAAUCAAAUGGACAGUUCUUCCACUUUCAGUGCAUACAAUCUAUACUACCAAGCAUGUCCGGAAAGCCCCUCUCGGCAUUGAUCACCAACAACCUCUCUGUAUCAGCGACAAUUGGCUCUCUCAGGUACUCAGGGCCAAACACUGCCACCACGGCCUUGCAGAAACUAUACAUUGAGAGGAGACAUGUGGACUCACUCAUAAGCACGUACUCAUCCACAAGAUCACCAGGAAUUUCAUGUGCAAGCAUGCAAAUAGCCGCAGUGCAUUUCUGGUAAGAAGGGAAGCCAAGCUUUCCAAGGGAAUCCUCUUUGCACUCAAAGUAUGGGUCAUAUCCUACCACUCCCUCCCGAAUAUGAUUGAACACAUGUAUCCUCAUUCGAAAGCGGCGACGAAAUUGAUGUGAUUUGAAGAGUGUGGUAUUCCCAACGUAAUCGACAUAGAGUAGGACGUGGCCGCUCUUCCUAUCGCGGUUCAAGGCCGGAGCAUGCCCUGGGAUUGAUCCCCUGAACCGAAGCCGCUGCCUAGCAAUGUGGUCAUGGACGACCAAUGCAACCACCACAAGCUCUUCGUUCGGACGGCCUUGCAAAGAAGGACACGUGGCCGAGAAAAUGGGGGUACAAGCGGGGUGGAGGCAGUGGGGGCGGGGAGUGGAGGGAGGAGGGACGACAAGGGGAAGGGAAAUGUGCGUUGUGUGCCCGACGGGAGGGCCAGGGGGGACAAGGGCAUGCGUCCCGCCUGUCCAUUUGGACGCAAAUGCGGCCCAAAGUUGGGUCGGGAGUGGGUCAAAAGCAGAUGUUUGUCCGUUUGCACUCGCGUGUUGGGUCGCAUUUUAUAUCGGUUUACCCCCAAAUGGACGUGGCUGGACCAUCUGGGAUCGUGCGUUGGAGUUUCCCUAACACGUACAAGGGCCUACAGAGUAAACACAACAUGUUCUUUCAGAGGCAUGCUGACCCUGAAACAGACACCGUAUCCGUCCACUGACAUUGAUGUGAAAGCCGGUUAUCCAACCAUGCACACAUACAUUUCAAAGCGGAUUUGAACAAAUUAAAUGCAUUUCAUCAAACAUGAUGAAAUUCAUCAAAAUUCGGACACAAAACAUGAAACCGAUGGAAUUUUGGCCGUUUAACCAAACCACAAAUAACAUAAUAGCACAAUUCAUCCAUAAAUGUAUGCAAAUAUCUCUAGUACAAUAAUAGUUCAUAUUCAAUGAGAUAGCUGGAUGUUCCACAAGUCUUUCAGAAUCAUCUAUGCCAAAUUCAACGGCACUAGAAUCAGAACCGACGCAUAUCGUCCCACACAAACUGCUCAUUUAGCUUCAUCCAACAAUGUAUGUGCGGAAAUGGCAUACCCUCGGGCCUGUAGUAUAGCAUUGAAGCGUGUACAUACUAUACAAUGUGUAGAGCAACAUUGAGUAAAUGAAUGAAUUAACAACCAUAUAAAGUAACCGGAAGAAACUUACGAUUUCCAUAGUUGACAAGCCCAAUGGACACCUCGUCUCCAUUUGGUGAAAUACACCGCACAACUUCAUUAUGGAGUUGCAAAUGGUGUACCACCGAUGAGUUAGCGACUUGAUACGUAUCUGACAUAUCCAUAAUUUUCUAUUGUACCCACUGCUUUCUAUGCAUUUCUAUGCUAUUUUAUAUUAUUUUUGGGGACUAACAUAUUAACCCAGUGCCCAGUGCGAGUUCAUGUUUUUUUUGCUUUUAAAAAAAUCAUUACCAAACAAAGUCCAAACACGAUGAAACUUUACGAUGAUUUUUUCUGGACCAGAAGGGACCCUAGAAGGUUUGGGAGGAUGCCAGAAGAGCUACGGGAGAGCCACAAACUCACAGGGCGCGCCCUAGGGGGGUAGGCGCGCCCCCCGAGCUUGUGGGCUUCCCGUAGCACCCCUUGAGCUAAUUCCACCUCUAUAAAUUCAGAAAUAUUCCCAAACCAAUAGAGAGCCACCCGAAACACUUUUUCCACCGCCGCAAGCUUCUGUUCUUCCGCGAUCCCAUCUGGAGGACUUUUCCGGUACUCCGCCAGAGGGGGAAUGGAUCACAGAGGGCUUCUACAUCAUCCUUGGUGCCUUUCGAUGAUGCGUGAGUAGUUCACUACAGACCUACGGGUCCAUAGCUAGUAGCUAUAUGGAUUCUUCUCUCUCUUUGAUCUUCAAUACAAUUUUCUCCUCGAUCUUCUUGGAGUUAUAUUUGAUGUAAUCUUCUUUUGCGGCGUGUUUGUUGGGAUACAAUAAAUUGUGGGUGAUCUGAAUAUUCAUGAGAAGUAAUUGAGUCUUUUCCGAACUUUAUUAUGCAUGAUUGUUACAGCUUUGUAUUUCUCUCCGAUCUAUCUAUUUGGUUUGGCCAACUAGAUUUAUUUAUAGUGGGAGAGGUGCGUUGUAAUGGGUUCAAUCUUGCGGUGCUCUAUACCCCAGUGAUAGAAGGGGACAAGACAUGUAUUUGUAUUAUUGCCAUUAAGGGUAAAACGACGAGGUUUAUUUAUAUUGAUUGGAUUUACUUUGUCUAUAUCAUGUCUUCUUGCUUAAGGCGUUACUCUGUUUUUAUGAACUUAAUACCAUAGAUGCAUGCUGGAUAGCGGUCAAUUGGUGGAGUAAUAGUACUAGAUGUAGGCAAGAGUCGGUCUACUUGUCACGGAUGUGAUGCCUAUAUACAUGAUCAUUGCCUUGAAUAUUGUCAUAACUAUGCGCUUUUCUAUCAAUUGCCCAACACUAGUUUGUUUACCCACUGUAUGCUAUGUGUUUGAUAGAUAAGCUUCUAGUGAAAACUAUGCCCCCGGGUCUACUUUAAUCAUAUAAAAAAAUCCAAAAUACCUUUGCUGCAAUUUUAUUUUGUUUUGCAAUUUAUUUAUCUACCACUACAAGAUUUGAUCCACAAGUAACGAGUUCAAGGGGAUUGACACCCCCUUGCCGAUGUUGGGUGCAAAUAUUUGCUUUUGUGUGUGGAGGUGCUAUUCAUGAGGCUUUGAUGAGGGAAAUACUUAUCUCUACUAUUGGUUCGAUAAACCUUGGUACUUGAUGAGGGAAAUACUUAUCUCUACUAUACUGCAUCUCCCCUUCUCUUCGGGAAAAAAUCUAACACAACUCACAAGUAGUAGGAAGAAUUUCUACCGCUGUCCCCAGGGAGACAUCAUCAAAACCUAUCAAGUACCUUCUCACAAACUAUCAUCUACUUGCUCUACUUCUUAUUUGCUUUUUUAUUUUCCUUUGCCUCUCAUUUUCAUCUCCUCCACUUCCCUAAAAAAACACAAAAAUACUUUGUUUUAUUAGUUUGCUUGCAAAAAUCAUGUCAACACACCAAAAUAGAAAGGAAAAGUAAAUACAUAUGGAUUCUCAUCCGCUUGCUAAUCUUUUCAAACAUGCUGCAUGUUGUAAACCAAUAGCUAAAAAUGAAGAAGUGAUAAAAGAAAAUGCUAUUGGGAUACAUUUAUUGAAGGAAAAGCAUGAUUGCAAUUGCGUUAGUGUAAAUUCUGUUAAUGUCAAUUAUGCUAAUGAUCAUGACUGGGGUGAUAAUUAUGAUGUUUCUUGUAAGGAUGACAAUUUUACCAAUGGGUACGGAUACGGAAACCAUACCCGCAUGGGCAGGGUAUGGGCACGUACCCUACCAGUUAAGUUAUGGGUAGGGCAUGGGUAUAGCCUUUUACCCAUGGAUAUACCCAUACCCUACUCAUUUAUACUAACAUGUGGACCUUGCCCGUGAAGUGUGUCGUGAGCUUGUGAGCCUAUGUUAAAGUUAUCACCAGUUGUCAAUUCGAAUUGAGAUAAUUGUCAUGUACUCAUCUAUCUGUAAUUGAGUUGCGAUAAAUGUUUUUUUGUCAAAUGUGCUAUUGAUGAAUGUACAAUUAUGAAUAACUUGUGUACUAUUUGAUCUACCCAUUGGGUACCCAAUGGGUAUGGGUACCCGUCGGAUAUGGGUAUGGAUAAAGUUUGUAUGGGCAGAUUUUUGUACCCAUUUGACUACAUGGGUAUGGGUAUGGUAUUGCUCUCCAUAACGUAACGUAUGAGCCAUGUUUGUUUGUGGUCGGCAUGUGUCUACAUCCAAGUCAAACCCAACUCGAUCUGUACACCGACGGAGCUAUGAACGAGACCCCUGAUUGCUGUCGCAUCAGCAAAAGAUCCUCAAUACAAGGGGACCUUGGUUGAGCCACACUGCCGUGACACAUUCCCUACAACUAUAAUUUGUCAAACGAUCGACUACAUUAUUUUGUGCAUGUCGAAUCUUCUGAGGAAUAAACUCCUUGUCAGAACACAAAGCCUUUACGAGAUGCCGACUAGGAGAGAGCUUCAGCGGAGAACACUGCUAACGCCUCCGAUGAAUUGAACUAUACAAUGACGGAAAGUCCGUAUGUUGAAUAGCAAGAUCCAUACCUUGCAUGAUCGCAUGUAACUCGACCUAUAGCGCCUCGUUGCAAUUAAAGAUAUAGCGAUAGGCUGAAAAUAUGACCGAACCAUCUUCUCUUCUCAGUAUCAUGCCUGCCGCAACUGUGCCAUCUGCCGAAAAGAAGGAACCAUCAACCGACAAAGCGACGUAGCCAGCCCACGGGCAAGGCCAAUGUAGGCAUUGUGCAGGCGCAACACACUCUUGGACGUGAACCAACUCACAUGCACGCAUCUUGCCUUUAACAAUUUCCUUCAAGCUAUACUUGUGAGAGUAAACAAGGGACAUCAAAUAGCUAUCAAAAAUUCCACUGUAGCCACCACUGGAGGCAUCUCUUUGCCAUGGCACAAGUCAUUAUGCAGCUGCCAAAUGCACCGAAUCAACAUAAUCACCAUGUCCCUCAUGGUUGCUGUGCAAUUCAUUAGAACAUUUAGCAACCAAUCAUUCCCACUGUCUAGUAAGAGUACACCACGGGGCAAGGUCCAUAUAGCACGCAUGAUCUCCCAAAUAUUCCGAGCAUGGUUGCAGGAAACCAAUGCAUGGAAGGAACUUUCAUCUUCGAUACCGUAGAGUGUACAGGUUGUAUAACCCAUAAGUAUAGGGAUCAAUUGUAGCCUUUUUUGGUAAGUAAGAGUGUCAAACCCAACGAUGAACUAAAGGUAGAAUUAAUAUUCUCUCAAGUUCUAUCGACCACCCAUAUAACUCUACGCACACUUAACGUUUGCAUUACCUAGAACAAGAAUAAAACUACUUUGUAGGUGUAGUAGGAUAAGUUUUUAAGAAUAAAACUAGAAGUACUUAGCGAGGUAAUAAAAGUUAGUUUGUUUUAGUAGAGAGCAUUUUGUAACACAAAGAGAAAGAUUGUCCGUAGGCAAUUGAAUAUAACACGAUAGAUACUUAUCAUAUGCAAUGAGGGAGAGGCAUGCGCUAAUAUACUUUCCGUACUUGGAUCACAUGUUCUUAUUAUUGAAACUCUAGAAGCAUCUGCAACUACUAAAGAUCAUUAACAUGAAAACCAACCAUAUCAUUAAGUAAAAAGUUCUCUUUACUCUCAUACGCAACAACCCCCUUACUCGGGUUUAACCUUAUGUCACUCUCGCAACCCACUAUAAGCGAAUCAUGAACUUAUUGCAACACCCUACAGCGGUAAUCCCACACGCUUGCACGACAAGUAGGGCAUCAUAGGACAACACCAUAUUAACAUUAAACUCAUAUCAAUCACACCAUACUACAAUUAACCCAUAGGACAAAAGAAAUCUACUCACGUUAUAUGAUUUCCACACAUCAUUGGAUAAUAACAUAUAACAUUAAGCACCAUGUUCAAGUACAUAAUUACAUCGGGAAUAGAGAGGUUACACCGCUGCAUAGAGUGGUAGAGAGUUGGUGAUGAUGGUGGAGAAGUUGUUGGUGUAGAUCGCCGUCACGAUGGUUUCCCCGGUGGCGCUCCAGCGCCACCGGAAGAGAAGGGGGAGAGACCCCCACCUUCUUCUUCUUGCUUGGCCUCCCCCCUAGAUGGGAGGAGGGUUUCCCUCUGGUCCAUGGCUGCCAUGGCUCCCAGAGGACAGGAGCCCCUCUAAGAUUGCAUCUCUCACUAUGUUUCUCUUCUGUUUUCGUCUAUUUUCAGACGCCUUCACCAUUUUUAUAUUCCCGAAGAUCCGUAACUCCAUUGGGCUGAAAUUUUGAGGGGAUUAUUUUCCAGAAAUUAUCUUUCUUGUGGUGCAAGAAGGACUCCAACAGAGUUAAGAGUGAGUCACAAGGCGAAAUGGCGCGCCCUAGGGUAUCAUCUUGCGUUGAUUCUUCUUCCCCAAAAUCACAUAUAUUCCAAAAUAAACCUUCGUAAAAUUUAUCAUGUUUGAACUUUGUUUGAUAUGGAUAUUCCACGAAACAGAAAACAUGCAAAAAAAUAGGAACUGGCACUGGGCACUGGAUCAAUAUGUUAGUCCCAAAAAUAAUUUUAAAUGUUGCCAAAAGUAUAUGAUAGUUGUAGAAUAUUGAUAUGAAAUAAUAAAAAAUUAUAGAUACGACAGAGACGUAUCAAGGUUCCAUGUCUAUCCAGGUGCCGGUUUGCCUUGUCGAGCGUGGCCCAGAUACCAUCUUCCACAUAGUGAUCUUCAUCUUUUGCGGUACAACUGCUUUCCAAAUACAGUUCCAUAACAACCGCUCACCAUGCGGUGAGCUACUUGAUGUGCCUCCCAAUAACGACUCAUCAUGUUCAGUUGUCGCUAAUCUAUAUGCACUCUUUAGAUUGUUCGUAGUGGGAGUAACUUCAACAGUAACAUAUAUAGGGUUCGACUCAGCAAAUUUACUUAUGUGAUAAUGAUUUAAUGAGGAGAGAGAUGAUUUGAGUAACAUAGCUAGUUAUUAACACUAUGGGUAACACCACACAUAUCAAGACAAGAUGAGUCUAUAAUCUAAUAAAAGAAGUGUUGCAUGACACCACACUUAUGUUACUCCCCACUAUAGAAGUAGUAACAUAGACUAGUAACAUAUGCAUAUUACUAGUCUAAGUUACUCCCCACUAUGGGUAGUCUCACUGUAAAAUUUCCAAAUUUCUCAAGAUGCCCAGCAAAGAAGUCACUUUGUUGUCUGGGAAAUGUUCAAAUUUUUAGAAUCUCCUGAACAUCAUCACCCAAAAAUGAGUAUUAAGCAUGUCAAUGUUCCAGCCUCCAUUAUCAUCCAAGAAAUUGGCCACCUAGUUAAACCGACAAUUACGCUUCGGAGUAACUGGGACAAAAGAGGAACCCCUCGGAAUCCAUGGAUCUUGCCAAGUUCUGAUCAUGGCGCCAUUCCCAACCCUCCAAAUAAUGCCCUUCUUCACCAGCUCCAAUCCAUGCUAAAUCCCCUUCCAAACAGCCGAAGAGUUAUGUGAAAAAACGUUGUCCAAUAGGUUCCUAGUUAGAUAGUAUUUUGCAUAGAGGAGAUGAGCACACAAACUGUUAGGUGCAUCCAGCAAACCACCACGCUUGUUUAUUAAGUAAUGCAUGGUUGAAAUCCAUCAUAUCACUGAAGCCCAUACCACCUUUAAACUUGGGUAAUAUCAUUUUAUCCCAACUAAGCCAGGCCAUCUUACGCUUUCCCUUCUCGACCCCCACCAAUAUUGCCUCAUCAAUCGUGUAAGAUCAUCACAUACCGAGGCAGGAAGACGGAACACACUCAUGACAUAUGAAGGGAUAGCUUGGGCCAUCUCCUUAAUAAGAAUAUCUUUAUUUCCAUAAGACAAAUAUUGUUCACUCCAACCACUAGACGUUUACUCAACACCGCUUGAACGGUUUCAAAUCUACCCUUGUGCAUCCUCCCUUCAGACACUGCAAGGCCCAAGUACUUAGUCUAAAAACCUUCAUCUGUGAGACCUAGAAUAGUUUUGAUCUCCAUGGAAAUUGCAGGUAAGCAACUUUCAGAAAAAAGAAUGGAACACUUGGUAGGGUUAAUGUGUUGGACCGUGGCGAGGCAUAAUUGCUCAAAACAUCCUUAACCAAACCUGCCCGCUGCUCAUAAGCUUGAAAGAAUAACAAUGAGUCAUCCGCAAAUAGAAGAUGUGAAAUAAUUUGUGCUCUUCAGCAUAUUUUCAAUCCUUCCAAUCCUUCCUCUGCCAUGGACUUGCUGAUCAGUGCAGACAAUGUGUCACCAACAAAGAGAAACAAAAACGGGGACAAAGGAUCACCUUGGCGAAGUCCCUGUGAAGGGGUAAAAGACUCGAGUAAUUUUCCAUUAAAAUUUAUGCAAUAUUUUAGAGAAGUAACACACACAAUACGAGGAAUCCAUGAUGUAGCAAAACCCCAGUUACAUAGGGCCUUCACAAGAAACACACAGUUGGCGUGGUCAUAUGCCUUCGAUAGGUCAAGCUUGUAAGCACAUACCGUCGAAUCCUCAUCUCAAAGAUAGAAUAUGAUGAAUACACUCAAAAACAAAGAUGUAAUUAUCCGAAAUAAGUCUACCUGGAACGGAAGCACUUUUGUUUUCAGAGAUAAGAUCCAUCAUCACAGGCCUUAGCCUAUUCACCAUGCAUUUUGACACAAUUUUGUAAACCACAUUGCAAAGACUGAUAGGACAAAAAUCAUUUAGGUCCUUAGGUUGCGGAACCUUUGGAAUUAGAACUAUCAUCGUAUAAUUCACUCCCAUAGGCAUAAUCCCUAUCACAAAAAAACUCCUGAACAACUGCCACAAUAUCUGAUUUAAGCAUUGCCCAGUUAUGCUGAUAAAAAUGAGCUAGAAAACCAUCCGUACCUGGAGCCUUAAUAGGGUCGAUCUGGAAAAGAGCAUCGGAGAUCUCCUUGUCUGAGAAAAGUGCGCACAAGGCCUCGUUCAUCUGCAUUGUCACCUUAGGCUCAAUACACUCUAAAACCGCCUCUGUGGAGAGGGAUGGGUCGUUGGUACAAACCUCCUUGAAGUAGGAGGCCACCAUUCACUCCAUCUUCUAAGAAACAUAGCACCAUGUCCCAUCCAAGUUGCGCAAGCGCCAAAUAUAAUUCCUCCUUGCCUGCCAAAUAGCGCGACGGUGGGGGUAUUUGGUAUUUCGCCCCCCUUCUUUCAGCCAUGUGAUACGCGACCAUUGCAACCAUACCAUUUCCUCACGGUAUAAUAACUCAUCAAGUUGGUUUCUCUUUUUCUGCAUACUCAUAGAUCUGCUCCAUUAAGCUUCAUUCUCUCUAGCUCACCGCAGAGCUUCUCUAUGUCAUUGAUGACAUGAGCAAAAUUCUAUUGGCUCCAAUCCUUCAAACUAUGCAUAAGUGCUCACAACAACUCCACUACGUAGGAGGAUAGUGGUAUCCCUAGAUCACCAGGGUUCAAGUCCUAAUACUUGCAUUUAUCCUGGAUUUAUUUCAGGAUUUCCGGCGAGGCGCAUUCAGUGGCAGGGAUCGUUCCCGUCGACUAUGAGGCGUCUAUGAUGACUUUAUAAAAUCUCAAGAUGAUAUGCGGCUUAGUCUCCUGGAUGUACUCAUAAGGGUAGGAUGUGUGCGUGUGCGUUCAUAGAGAUGAGUCUAUGCGCAUAUAUAUGAGCGGUUAUGUCUGUACUAUGUUAAAAUAAGUACUCAUUGCUGACCGACUAUAGCAGUACCACAACACGCGCCUGUAGCGCCGGCGGUUCAAUCUGUCGAUUGUACAAUGCGCGGGUCAUUUCGUGCUCGGGCCUGCACCGAUCGCACAUGCUCGUCAGAGAGUACAAUACCAUAGGAUCCACAUCGCGGUUUCCCAACAUUCCAAUUCUAUGGUCUCGUCGAUUAUUUCCUACUAUACGUGGGCUCAAGAAAUAUCAUGUAUAGGGGCCUUCGCACCCCACACACACAGUAGUAUAUCAUGUUCUUUCACAUGUUUUACCAUUAAAACAAAUCAUUUAGUUCGAUCGAUCACAAGCCCCUAAUGCUGAACAGCAAAGCGACUAAACAUGCAAUAAAUCACAAAACUUCAAUUUAUUAUUACACACCAAAGGCGCACACCAGUUUAACUGAAGAACGAUACUAAAAACUCAGUCUGAUAGGUGGAUCAUCAAAGGAGAAUCAAGGCAUCCAAAAGCAAGGCCAACAUAGGAGUGGUGCACCAUGCCAGGGACAUAGCCAGUCGAGGAAAUUCAGCCGGUGAUCCUCAGAAGAACCCCCGUACGAUGCCACCCCCACGCUGCACGGUAGGCUUCACCUGCCACCUACUCCAUGACUUAUGCUCCUAGCGUCAACACCCUUUGAUUUCCCUCCUUUUAUCUGCAAAAUUGCCAAAUUUGUUAGGCAUUGACAUAUCAACCUGAUAAGCAUAAUUAGAACAUUUAUUAGCUUCUUUUUCCAAAAACAACAACCGGUUUUGCAUCUCCAAUUUGUCCAAAAGAUAGCAGCGACACCAACUAACACCCGUUUUUGGGUUACAUCAUGUUGGUUUUUUUUAAUCCAUCCACUAAAGCACAUAUCAGAUUAGCAUGAUUGAUCCCAAAUUUAAAUCAUAUUUAAGAAAACCCCACACUAGUUUAUCCACUGAACAUCUGAAGAAAAAGUGUUUAUUCCUCUCAUCUUGACCACAAAACACACAAUUUUUGGGAUCUAUCCAGCCACUUUUCAAUAAAUUAUCUCUAGUUAAUAUGUUAUUUUUGACCAUCAACCAAAGAAAGACUUUGAUUUUUGGUGAAAUUUUAGUUUUUAUUAAAACAAUUGUGGCAAACCACAAUAUUGAACAACAAGGUGUCUAUAAAGUGAUUUGACUGUAAAAAGACCAUAUGCAAUUAACAUACACUUAAUAGAAUCCUUGUUGUGAGACAUCAUAUUCCAUCACAUCUCAUUUUGAGGCUAUCCCAAAGAUCUAGAGCAUCACCUGACAAAGUUCUUCUAAAUCUAAAACCCUCCCAACUUCUCUAAAAGGCAUCAGCUGCAGUAAUAUUGUGAUCAGAACUCAAAUUAUACAGUAUGGCAUAAGAGAUUUUAAGGGGUUUAAAAUCUACCAACAGUCUUCCCAAAAUCUAGCAUUCAUUACCCACUUUUUUACAAUAUUGGUACAAUAAGUAUUUAAUUUUCAUGAUACUGGACCAAAAAUGGGAGUUCCCAGUCUUAGGUUUAGUUCCAAAAAGGCAACCAUUCUGAACAUGCUUGUUCAGGAGAAUCAUGUGCCAAAUACCAUUUUUAGUUUCUACCAUAACUAUUUAGCCGACAAGUUUUGUUCAUGAGUUCAAGAUUUAAAAUCCCUAAACCCCCUUGAUCUUUAGGUCUAAAUCAAGUGUUCUAGUUUACUAAGUGUUAUUUUUUCUUAUUGCCAUCUCCCUGCCAAACAAACCUAGCCAUGAAGAAAUUGGCUCUUUUCUUCACAUCAACUGGGAUGGGGUAGAAAAACAUCAUACAUAAGUUGAAUCUCCCCCUCUAUUGUUAAAUCUUCUCUCAUAGUUGUUAAAUCUCCCCCCUUUUGUUGAAACUACCUUACGCUCCUGCACCACUGCAAGCCCUAGCCAUCCCUUCUUGCUCACCAGGUAGCGUCGCCGGAGAAGUAAAGCCUUACCACACAUCGCUUGCACGCCCACCAAAUUCCCUUAGGGUGCGGACCAAAGCAUCUAAAUACCCAAAGGCAGCAGAAGACACAUUCUCCUUAAGUGUUUUCCUAUCCCACCAACCUGGACCUCUUGAUCAAAAACAUCCAGUCCAACCGCCCAGGGCCAACUACAGAAGGUUCAAUGGGUAAAGGCCAAAACCUUAAAACUCACCCCUCCUUUCUCAAUAUUUAUCAUCACAACAUCAAUGUAAUCUAAGAAAUCCACCCCCAAAACAAGCUAUCCUUUGUACAAUUGGCAAGGAUAGCUGGAAAAUUACCAAUUCUUGUAGCCUUUUUUACUAGAUUUCCACCAGUAACAUCUAAUUCCAAUUAAUGACUAUAUCAUCACAAAUUUGAUAUUGUGGGUAUCAACAUCAGGAAGAUCCAAGGAGAAAUCAUCCUCAUAACAGUAUUACAAUCAAAAUCAAUGACAUGAUCAACUUCCAUCGGAAAAUCCACCGAAGACUUUUCGGAGUAUGCAACUAAGAUCUCCUAACCCUAUUUCUCGUAACUACACCCCCAACUGUUAGUUUGUACAUGAGGAUGUAAAUAUUUGUAGAGAUCAACAAUCUUACUAGAAAAUGAAGCAGCAAAACGAUUGUAGGAGUCCUCGACUCCUCCCCAGCAGCAGCCAUAAUUGACUGCCUGCCAGGAAGACGCCUACUCGUCGGCGGCGCUCUGUGCAAGCGCCUGGAUCCGUGCAGAACGCCGGGGGAACCGCGGGGAGCGACGAGGCAACUGUGAAACCACCCGCGCCACAUUUUGCCUCGGCACCACCCGCACAUCAUCGUCGGUCACGACAGGCAUCACCGGACAGUGUGGCGGUGACCUUGUCGUCGUGGUCACCACCCGCACACCAUCCCAGACCAGAUUGGACGAAACCCAAUCUUGUGACGCGUAGCGGUACCACCGCGCGCGCUGCACUGGAUCGUUUGAUUCCGCCUCCAUCAUUGCCCAAUAGAGGAUCUCGAGCGGGGCCUUCCCUGAGAUCCAACUUUGUUCCUCCUCAGAGGCCUCUUCAACCACCCGACGUGAUUCCUGAUGCAUCUCCUCUGCAUCCCUGAACCGCCCACAGAUCUCGCGAAGCCUCGCCAUCUUCGCCUCGUCGCUACCCGCGAUUGCCGCCGCCAUGAGAUCCCCCCACGCCAAAGGCCCUUCCAUCACCGAGAUCUGAGACGGAGGUUGGAGGAAGAGAAGAAGGGGAUCGUAGACACCCUCGUGCCUUGCGUGUAGAUUUAAUGCUUGCCAAAGUCAUAGGUAUUCAUUUCCCACAUCACGGGUUCCUCGAGAUUAGUGUGGGAUCAACGUCGUUGAUUUUUUGGAAAUUAUUAUGUCCUGGAUCUUGAGAAAUCAUCUAUUAGGGGCCAUCCUAUCAAGAUCCCAAUGCCCAAGUUGUACUCCACUAAAACUAGAAUUGGCAUCCGUCCAUCCACGGAACGAGCACAAGCCAACAAGAUUACACCAAACGUGACGCUGCAUCAGUUUCAGUUUCAUAGAAACGCUGCCAUGGGAAAGCAAAGAAAUUGUUGGUAAAAUGAGGCAAGGACAGCGUGGUAAACGAUGUCUAGUCUAGGCCCUGUCUACCACCCGCCGCACCGCAAAUGCACCAUCCAGCACCCAACAUGUGUCCUAGCCGCCGAAUGGGUCAGACUAACAGUCACCUUACAAGCCGACCCCACUCGCAGCCACACCCAACACGCCCUUAUUAACCCCGUGGACACCAGAACCAAUUCGAUCAUCUCCCCGUCGUCAACCUUGCCGCAUACGUCCCUCCGCUCCGCGUAAUAAGAAGUUAAAAACCCAUGCCUCCAGACAUUUUCCCAGUUCGUCCACCGGCAUCACCGCGUUGAGCCCUAGCCACGCAUGGAGCUGUUCACGCACGCCAAGGAAAUUCUCCUUCCAGUUUGUACCUGUACGACAACCACUAACCUCUUUUCGUCGAGCUUUUCACUGCCCAAGUUCUCUAUUUAUAA
rnacentral:lncRNA from 1 species